CCCGUUUAGGGGACACUUAGUGCCAUGUCAGCAGAGACACUUGCUACUAUGCAAGUAGUGGUAGUACGAGUUGACUGAGUGGUGUGCAGAUGGAUGGAUGAGCAUUUUGAAUCGCUUAUCCGUGGAGAUGCAAUCCACUCUGCUUUUUCAAGCCCAUUCACAAGCUGUGUUACUUCUCUUCUUCAGUUCAUCGUUGCCUUGCUGUCGUCUGCAUGCUGAAGAUGUUUUUGCCUCAGGGCCUGCAGACCCCGCAGGACAGUGCCCGUGCCUGCCGCAGGUGACGUGUGCGUGGCCCACGUACCUGCACCUGAGGGGAGCAGCGGUGGGAGCCUGCAGAGUGCUCCGUGGGAUCACCCAAAGGGAGUGUGGCCGGGCUGGCCCUGGGGAUUGUCGGUGUCUGGUGCUGACUGAGGGGCUGGGCGCUGCCGGAGGGGGGUUGGCUCCCACGAGCAUCCAUCCCCUGAGCACCUGGGCUGGGUAGCGGCCUGUUGGCUGGGGGGCUGCUCUGCUGUGUCCAACCUGACCUAAGGAGUAAGGGUUUUUUGGGUAUAUGUCUUUUGGUCAACAACAGAAGGGAGAUAAUAGUAGUUAUGCUCUAGAUUUGUAGAAGCAAAAGCUACACCUGUUCAGGUUGGGACGCUGGAAACUUGGGAGAAAGCUGCGAUUUUUAGAUGGAGUGGAGGCUUGUCUGUCUUCCUAACACUUGAACUGGUAGUUGCAAAACCUCUGGUUACGUGUUUCAGUACCAGAGAAAGUUACUUAAUUUUUAGCCUGAGCCCUUUGCUCUAAACAUUUGGGGGAAUUCACGUUAGUCAAAAGUUUACAGCACCAAUGUUAUUUGCUUGCUGGUCUUGCUGGACAGCCCUUUUCCAAUAAUUAACAUUAUUUGAAAGCUUUAUUUAGGCUCCAGCAAGAAUAAACUUUCUUAGGGGUAUUGCUGAGUAUGUAGGUGAAAGAGCUGGGCUGCAGGAGAUGGGGUUGUGUCGGGCCCACUGUGCUGCAGGAGGCCUUGAGCUGGAGGGAGGCCUGCGGGCCACGGGGAAGGCUUUGGCUGCUGCUACCUCUGCUGACUCGGUGGGGGGGUCCUUCGCUGAGUGAGAUUCUGUUUCCAAAGCAACUUUUAGGCUACUCCUUGCUCAGCUUGCAUCUUUUCUUCUUUCAUUCCAGUCCUGUGUAAUACUUGGACAUUAUAAUUGAGGUCUUGGACUCAUCACUGAGGAAAGAAAUGUAAAAUGGAGGCACCUUAGCAAGUAACCAGUAGGCACUGCAACUAUCAGCUGGUGUGAUUAACAAAAUAAAGUAAACCAGAGGAAGUUCUAAGUUUAGUAAUCAGUCCAGGAUCUUGCUGAAGUGGUAAAAGUUUCAUUUCCACUGCUGUGUAAGGAUCAGGCCAGGAUUCACACAGCCGGGACUUGUGAAAGGGCUCUGCUCAGGGUGUGCUCAUUUAAGUCCCCAGAGAGAAGUGGUUGGUCCAGCAGCCCACAUGUGGUGUCACUUCAUCCUCUGGCACGUCACCACACACCUCCUGAAUGGCUGUUCUCGUGUUGGCUGUCCCUUGCCAGCGGUGGCAGGUAACCAAGCCACUGCGUCUGUCCAUUGGUGCCUCACUUGGCCAUGCAGGCUUUCUGGUCUUUAACACAUAUCUGCUUUGUCAAGAUGCUAAUUUAGGCCAGCCACCCUCUCUUUAAAAGAGUAAUAGUUUGGUGCCUGGUACAGACAUCUUAAUAUGGGAGUUAAAUGUAUAUCAACAUAUAUUUCCACUCUGCAGAUCCUGGUUUAAGAGUAGAACACAUGGAUAUGGAAAAUUUGCCAUUAGGCAGGAUUAAAUUUCACUGAGGAGAAGUGUUGGGAAGGUCCAGGGCAGGGCACAUCCCUGCCAGAAGGCAGGAGCUUCUGCAGGCUCUUCCCACCCAGUUCCUGCAGCCCCUGCCAGCCCGGGGGCCCAGGCCUCUCCAGCAGCUCUUCUUCGUGCCCACCCACUUCAGCUCGGCUGCGUGUCAACUACCAAGGGCUCGUGGUAUGAAAUACCGAGAGUGACUGGGAAACAAUAAAGUGACGUGCACCGUGAGGAUCUCUGAGGCAGAAAGCAAUUUGUUUUUUAUCUGAUUGCCCAUGCAUGAAUUUCCACGGUAAGGCUGCAGAUGGCAUUGCGUGCCUCAUUCAGCAGCAGAGCUGUCCUUGCUGUGUCGUGUGCGAGAGGAGGUUGCUCUUGUUCUGAGUUGGGGUUUUUACCAUGUGUAAGAAAAUAAACAUUUCUAAGGGCAGAUGCAACCUUCAUAUCUGCUUUUUAUAUACUUGUCAUGGAUUUCAUCACAAUAUUUUUGCAUUAACAGGUUAUAUAUUUCAAAGUGCAGGACUGGUUUUCAAUGAUUAGGGUUUUUCUGUGUUACCCUGAAUUUAUUUCCAGUUUCCUUCUAUUUAAACUACAACACUUUCUGCCCAAGCCGGUGACCCGAGAAGACCUUUCUCUGUCAGUGGGGUGUCAUAUCAGGUCUACAGAAAAUGGUCUGCAUGCUGCUUCCUUGCUGGUUCUUUCGAUGAAUGUGUCUGUCUACGAGAAAUUGCCUGUGUUCACCUCAGCAUGUUGCAGACUGUUUUAAGGACUUGCUAAUAAGAUCUUGAAGACUUCCUCAAGUUGUAGACUGGUGUCUCACAGGGCUAUCAGACCGUAUUUCAAAUUAGGGAGAUGGUCCUUGUGAUCUGUCCCCACCCCACUUGUGAGAGGGCUUUUGCCCCCUCACAAGCCUGUUUAUAGGUGACAGGCCUCUACCUGCAGCCCUGGGGCAGGUGGCUGGAGGUUCUCAUAACUCGAUGCUUACAUUUGGUUAUGGUGGAGGCCGGUGUUUGAGCCCAGCAUGGCUCAGUACAUACAGGCUGGGGAACUUGUUUCCCAUCUCUUCUCCAAAGCAGCAAUGUUGGUGUUGGCUUCAGUCACCUCCUUCGGUGGAGGCGGUGACUCAACAACUGUUGAACCCAAGCCUGAAGGUUCAGACUUCUUAGGCUUGUUACCAGGUGCAGUAAUCAGGGCUUUCUUGAACUCGCAUGUUGUCUGUUUAUAGAUGCGUGGGAAAAGUUCAUGUGACUGUCAUUCUAAACUCUUGAUCUCAAAACACCUAGUGAUAUUGAAUAUUAAGUCUGUCUUUACAGAUACUGAAAAUUGAGGCUGUAUGGGCACUGGUAGGUUUGCAAAGUUGUCACAGGGUUAUGGGCUUUCAGACCAGCCUGCUUUCAGUGACUGCCUAAAGAAAACCUCGACCUCUAUGAGAAGGAAGUUGGUGAUGUGUUCAGACUGUACAAUAACGCACCUGUGAGUUGGUGGGAAAAUCGAACACAACAAAAAAGUCUCUGUAAAAGCUUUAAUUCUAAAGCUUUUCCCCCCCCCCCCUCUUCAAAUUUACCCCUGUGGUUCCAGCAAAAAGUGCCACACUGCUAGAAUGAUAUCUGUGCUCGCUCUGGGGUCCUGGCGGUGCAGCAUCUCUAGACUUUGAAAUGAAAAAUGUAUUGUUCUGUAUUUAUAUGAUGGAAAAUGAGUCAGAGGAGUGGGGAGGCUUUAUGGAACAAGAUUAAGAUACCAGUGGAAUUAACAAACUGAAUUAUAAGUAAUUUGCCAGCUCUUCUCUUUGCUGUCGUUGCCCAAACUGUGCAGUCACAAAAGGCACUCAUCUCACCUACAGAGGUACACAGCAGGAUGAAAGAAAGUGGAAUAUAGAACAAAUCCUAAGAACAAAAAUUCCUUGGACACAUUCAUAUUGUUAAGAAAGAUGAUUUGUACUAGCUAGACUAAUUACCAGGCAAUAUUUCUCUCUCUUUUUUUUAAUAUCGUCUGCAUGUUUUUUGUUUUUUUUUUUUUUUUUUUAUGAGCAAAUAAUUACUUUUCACUACAUUUACCUCUUUGAAAAUCCCUAAAGACAUUAAAACCUUUUUAGGUGAAUGGAAUGCACAGAUUUAUUAAUAUUCAAGAAGUCAGAUACUGCUGUACUAGUUUAUAAGGUACAUAGUAAUCCAGAAAAUUAGAAGAAUCAGCCUUCAACUAAUAACUUGCUGAAUGAAAUCAAGUAUUUGAAAAUAUAUUAUAAGGGAAAUACGUUCAAUUGUUUAAAUGUAAGAAAAAGCAGUAACUUUCUGUAACUUAAAGGAGAAAAAAAAAAAAAAGAUCCGUAUUAAGGAACAUGGUUAUAAAGGAUCCUGAAGGGCAGAUGUACGAGCAAGCUGCCCUGCUGGUCAGGGUUCAAGGCAAGGCUCUGGCUUUCCUUUUUCUUUAUUCUUGGCAUUCAUUGUCUGUUAUUGAACACAAUGUAAAGGUUUCUCUUUGUUUUCCCAGUACUAACAUCCUCAAGAAUAGCUUAGAAGGAAGGUGCAGAGAGAGUGAAGAGACAAAAGACAAUUAUUUCACUAACUUUUCUAAAAUGUUUAGUGAUGGAUAAAAAUAGGGAGGAUGGGGAAUGCAGCAAAAAGAAAAGAGGAAGGGAAAUAUUUUGGUAUAUAUUUUUGCUCUUCUUUGAGGCCACUUUGUUUCUUCUGAACUGAUGGGUUUGGAAGCCAGUGCCAGAGUCCAAUGCCAACACUAACAGCUUGUGUUACUACUCUGCUGCAGUGCAAUAGUAGAAACUUCAUUUAGUUGAUUGUUUUCUGUUUUGAGUUUUUGAUGAAAAAGAUGAUGUCCGCUGUGGCACGGACAUCAGGACAGAGGUCAGGACUGGAAAAGGAAGGGAGAGGAAGAGCUUCUGCUGACCAGCUUCCACCUGGACCCUGGGGCCCUGCAGCCUGCUAGUGGCUGGCUGAGCUGGCCAGGAAGCUCUGGAGCAGAAGUGAUCACUAGGACCUGUUUAGGCCACUGUGAGGAGCGCAGGAUCCAGUAGCAGCUGUCCUGAAGACCUUAGCCUCUGAAUUAUACACGUUCUCUGCUUGGCCAUUAGGAGGUUAGCUGCUUGUGACUCAAAGCACAGCUGGUCAGCAUGGAUUGUAGUGUGGUGCAGAGCUGCUCGGAGAUUAAAAUAACUGCAUGAGAUGUACUAAACCUGUUCCCUUUCCAUGUUCAUCCAGUUUAGUGCUGUACCACUGAUGCAAUUCUUAGGAUAAUCUCCCAUUUGGACUGAUCUGAAGUUCUCCUUGAAAAAGGUCCUGUAGGCAGAGCUGCAGCCUGUCAUAGCUGCUCUGUGAAUAUGUAAUUUGGCAAAUAUUUCACAUGCUGUUGAACAUCUUGGCUGUCCCAGGUUCAUGUUCUCCAGAGGAAUUUGUAAGAAUACAGCCAUUUGAAGAGAAGGCAGGGGAAGGGACAGGGAAUAGGGGAAAUAGGAAUUUAGGUAAUGCAUCUGUUUAUCUUGCAGCUGUAUCCCUGAUGGCUUUGCUUGAAUCUCCAGAUCCUUCAGCAGACCUUUCCUAGAUGAUUUCUGAAUGUCCUAAAAGGGAUGGUGAAGUUUGCAGUCGUGGUGGAGACUGGAGAAACUUGAUUUUAGUCUCUAGUCCAAAUUAUGUAUUUUUGAAAUUGUUUAAAAAUAUUCUGUACCUCUCAUUAGAGCUCUGCAUUAGAUACAAUAUAUUUUCUAACAGCAUUGGAAAGAAUACAUAUUUUUUUCCACCUGAGUAGUUUAGGAACUUAAAUAUGAAUAGUUUAGGGCUUUUAGAAGUCUAAAGGUUGCCAUUAUAUGUUAAAAAACAGGCAAAUGCUGCCGUGUGUGAGAAAGUCUUUUCCGUUGGAGGAAAAAGAACUUUUUUUUUUUUCUUCUGCCUAAAAGCACUCUUUUAUUUACACAACUUGGAAUAUAGUUGUACCAUAUUGUGAAAUUGCUAAAGAUUGCCAGAUGUGCUAUUUUUGUUUCAUGCAUGCCAACAUGUCUUCAGGGUCUAUUCUUGAUCAGUAAGUCAUUGAAUAAUACAUUAGAAAUAAGAUUGCAAAACAUUUUGAUUAAUGGUGUUGAUUUAAUAGUUUUAGGUAGUCAUGAGAGAUUUUCUUAUUUCCCAAAGUGUUUAACAUUGCACAACUGCUGUAAACAUUACCACACUUAUUUGGUGAUUUUGUCUUAAAUUACUGUUUGUACCUUGUGUGCUGCGUAUUUUGCACUUGUGCUAUUCAUCACUCCUUUGGCAUGCAGCUUUGCUGUGGGAAGCCGCAGGGGAUCGCGAUGUCCCAGCCCAGCAACAGCGGGACAUUGCGGGGCAUGGUGGCGGUGCCUGCUGCAGGAUGCCAUGCCGCAAGGCGUCAGCACUUGAAGAUGGCCUACGACCGAAUGUGAAGCAGAAAGCACAACGCUGGCAAUUCUCAAGUCUCCCGUGUGCGCUCUGUGAAGAACUGGAAGGGGUUUGAGUAGUUGCCAGCAGCCUUGAUCUACACUUUGGUACAGCCAGUAGACUAAGGGAGGACAAAUGUGGUCUCCAGCUGACUCCUUCCAAGAAACUUCUCUAGACAGUCAGGAUCUCUUCAUUUCCCAGGAACUUGGUGGAGACCCCGUGCAAACUGCCCUGGGUGCCUCAGCUCCCAGUCUCACCGCUACCUCGCCUCCUGCAUUUGAGCGCUCUCAACUUAAGCAGCAUCCCAGAGGAGACCUGUUUGCCACCUGUGACAUCCAAGCUUGCAAGGGAACUCACAAGGCUUGAAAGAAAAAAAAUAAAAAGGAACUAAAUGGAAGAUUUUGAAGAAGUUUGCUUCUGGCAAGAAUAGUGCUCUAGAAUGGAGGAUGCUGUGAAAAUGGACAAAAGGGAAGGACCAGGAGGGGGAUACGUGAGAGCAGUGAAUGUGCAUGAUGGGAAGGGGCAGAAGUGGGCUGGCAGAAGACCAUGUGGUGAUGAAGUAAAACGUCUGUCCGGCAGAAGCAGGUGUGUGCAUGCGAUGGAGGCUUGCAGACAGGAGCAGGAGGCGCGGGCGAAGAAUGUCCCAUCAGGACUACUGCUUGCUUUGCCUCCCAUAGCCAUUCCACGGGGGCAGCACCCACAAGCAUGGCAGGUGCCUAAGGUCACUUGCAGCUGGAGCAAAUAUUUCAUAGGAGGACCACCUGUCAGUGCUUCUUGCAGGAAGGGAUGAUUGUCGCUUCAGUUCGUGGGCACUGCGUUUGUGUGCCUGUCUCCAAAGACCGCACACGGAAACACCUUUCUGAAUGUCUCUUCCUGCUGCUCGACUGUUGCUGUUCAAAGCCUCACGAGUUUUUUUCCUUUUGAUCUUAUUUGCAUGGGCCUAAGGACAAUAAAGUUGUAUAUUUUCUCAUUUUAUGUUGUUUUUCAGCAGUUGGUGGAAGGAAUGGAUAUCUCAAAGUGCCUUGUGCAUGUUUGUCUUUACCAGCCCCUGCUGACACACAAUGAAUCUGCCUAGGUCUGUGUGCGGGGGCAUCGAUUUGGGCAAUGCACUGGAAGUCCUGUGGUUGGUACGCCAACCACCCAAGCCCCUGCUCCUUGCCCUGGCUUGUUGCACCAGGUGCACACCUCUCCGUGCAGCUGGGAAGCCCUUCCCAGGGCCCAGCACACACAAAGCUGGUGCGUGGAGUGGCGAGCAGUUGCUCAGCCCUGCGUGCCUGCACAGCAGGCAUGGCCCCACAGUGCCCAGAGCCAGCUGCGGCACCAAAGCUCGUGAGAUAAAGGAUACCUGCUUUCUGCGCUUCAGCAGUCCUCCGGAGGAACUUUCUGGCAUGCGGAUGCAGUCAAAAACAGCUUAGGAAAUCACAGCAUCGGUUAACGAGCAGCAGCCACAAGGAAGAAUCCUGCUUGCAAAUCCUCUUAUGAAUCUGCCAGCUAACCCUGUGAACAUCCUGUUGAAGACUAUUAAAGGAAAAGCCCGUGGGCAAGAUGUAGUGACUUUGCUUUCAGAAUGGUUUGAAUUGUAUUCUGUGAAUAGACACGGGUCUGUUGUUAACUUUUUAUUUUCUUUUCUUUUCUCACUUAUUCAAGUGCAUCGUGUUAAAAAAGUAAGGGAGAGAAGAAAAAGGACCAAAUUAACUUUGCACAGCUAACUGCUGAUCCUGGCACUUCUGAAUCACGGAGUGCAUGCCUUGACACUGUCCUUUGAAGAAAAACUGCUUCAGUCAGAGUAUUAACUGGAGGAAAGUAACUGUCCGUACUGAGAGCCAGGGAACUCGUCAGGCUUCUGAGACUCCAGAGCAGUGUCUGAGCUCCAGAGUGCUUCUGUGUAGUGUCUCAGCUGCUCCCAAACUGCAACACACUCACUGCCUAGCACUUUCCGAAAGGGAAAGAGGGCCUUUUUUUUUUUUUUUCUAGAACUACUACAGGAGUGACUUUGUAUGGUGUGACGGUGAUGAUUCUUGAAUCUUCUGUAGCCUUUAGGCCCACAAUUUGGAACUUGUGAUUCAGUGUGCUUUGAUUCAGAGUGGUUGUUUUUUUUAGCUUAUUCACAAUUUUGUGGGCAUUAAGGAGACCAAGUGCAAGUAAAUACCAUAAUAAUGUAUUCCUGCAGCAUCUUGGUAUGUUUUUUACCCCUGUAAUUUUAAAUUGGAAAGUGAUGUAGAACAGUCCCGUUUCUUGACACUUGUAAAAUAUAACUUUGUGAACACAA